UAGGGAGAGACAGUUGGAGGACUAGGCCUCAAAUCCUUCAAGUUUCAGCCACUUCAGCCUUCCUGGCCUGGCCUGGGGAGAGACAGUUGGAGGACUAGGCCUCAAAUCCUUCAAGUUUCAGCCACUUCAGCCUUCCUGGCCUGGCCUGGGGAGAGACAGUUGGAGGACUAGGCCUCAAAUCCUUCAAGUUUCAGCCACUUCAGCCUUCCUGGCCUGGCCUGGGGAGAGACAGUUGGAGGACUAGGCCUCAAAUCCUUCAAGUUUCAGCCACUUCAGCCUGCCUGGCCUGGCCUGGGGAGAGACAGUUGGAGGACUAGGCCUCAAAUCCUUCAAGUUUCGGCCACUUCAACCUUCCUGAUCUGGCCUGGGGAGAGCUAGUUGGAGGACUAGGCCUCAAAUCCUUCAAGUUUCGGCCACUUCAACCUUCCUGAUCUGGCCUGGGGAGAGACAGUGGGAGCACUAGGCCUCAAAUCCUUCAACUGUUGUGGCCGCUUCACCCCCUUUCUUGCCUGGAAGGACUGUUGGGAGGAGCAGGCCUCAAAUCAUUCAACCGCUCCAUGUCUUGACUUCAAGGAAUUUGAGCCACUGGCCGAGUCCGCUUCAGUCAGUUUCCUGUGAGUAAGGAGGCUGCUGCUCCUGGAUCCUCUCAACUGCUCAUUGCCACCAUAACACCUGCCAUGAACUCCCCACCUGAGUUAGGACAGAAUAUGCGGUAAGAGAAACUCGCCACCUGUCUACUGACUGAGCCAUGUUUUAAACAAUACGUUGACCCCCAGUUUCAGCUGAGCGCUGUUUCAUUUGCUUGUGGUUUCUAUUGCUUGAGGAAAAUCCCUAGCGG